rnacentral:lncRNA from 1 species
UCACAUUAUUUGCUGGCAGUGUGUGAAGUCAACGAACAAGACUGAGUCUUUGCCCUUGAGACGCGUACACUCUACCCAGAGACAAGUUCUAAGCACAGGAAACAAGUAAUUUUAUAAGAACAUCAUAGGGCAGUUAUUCUCCAGAUGAAUUCAGAUUAAAGAGGACACUUGAGCCGGUUAAAUUUCACGUGUGGUGGUGGACUCGGUAUAAACAUCAAAUUGAACAUGUAUUGAGCUUUCCUCAACAAUCUUUCACAUUCGUUGAGGUGAAUCAGAUUAUUAAAGGCAAAAUGAGAUUCUCAUUAUAAGCGGGGACAAUAUAGCUAUUGAAAAGAGAGAUGAACCAGUUGGUAAAAUGGAUUUGGAGGAAGAGAGCCAUGGUUUGGAAUAGAACAUGAACGAGUGCAGAGGAGUGGAAAUUACCACAGUUUGCCAAAGAGAGAAGAAGUUAAACUUGCCAUCUGAACAAUGGAAUUC